UACAGAGGUCUCAAGCGUUGUUCGGAUUCAUUGGGCGUAAAGGGUGCGUAGGCGGCGUGGUAAGUCGGGUGUGAAAUUUCGGAGCUUAACUCCGAAACUGCAUUCGAUACUGCCGUGCUUGAGGACUGGAGAGGAGACUGGAAUUUACGGUGUAGCAGUGAAAUGCGUAGAGAUCGUAAGGAAGACCAGUGGCGAAGGCGGGUCUCUGGACAGUUCCUGACACUGAGGCACGAAGGCCAGGGGAGCAAACGGG
rnacentral:rRNA from 1 species